rnacentral:lncRNA from 1 species
ACAUCAUAUAAGCCCCAGCCAUACUCUCCAUAUGAUCAUAUGGGCGAGGCAAAAGUGCAUCCCUUCUUAUCACAUGUUCCACUGUAACUUCACAAAACUGCUUUCCAAGAGGCUCACCUCCUACGAUGGUCCUCGGAUUAACAGAAAGGACAGUUCCCUUAGCUACAGGUUGAUUAGGCCUCAACAUAGCAAAAAGUAUCACUUCCUUUCCAACCUGAAGUAGAUGACACAUGCAUUAGAAAUACACAAAUCUGAGGAACAAAUAUUAAAUCACAAACAUAAACUUAACAAGAGGAUGGAGAACAUUACAAGCCCAUCAUGUGUAAAGCGAGAGGCAUUUUCAUUUCUUGCUGUGUUUAUAGCGUUCAUGCCAACAGAUACUGGUGCUCACGUACAUCACUAGCCUCUCCCCAUCACUAGCCUCUCUCCAAAAUGAGUUAACACAUUUUCUACAAGGACAUAAUAUCUUGUCCCCUACUGCUGAAUUUCUAAAUGCAAAAGCCAAGAAACCGUUCACUCCUUGUAAAUAUUUCUUUGUGUGCCUACAUGGAAUGUAUUAUGUAAAAUCUCAUGUUCACUACAUAACACUUUUAACAUUUGUAAACUAGUUGUGUUGUACCUAGGCUCAUUAUUGAUCCAUGUUUUAUCCAUACGCCUUUACAGGAAGGUCAGACUGCGCUCAAAUUAAAUCUUUUCAGAGAGAAUACAACCACACAAGACAACCUUUAAAAAAGCAAUGUGACAAAGUGAUUGGAACUUGAGAAACAAGAUCAUACCGUUGCACAAAGCUCCGACACCCAGCAACUAUGAAUAUUGUAGUUCUUCAAAAAAAAAAAAUUCAAACUGCUUGCAGCUACAGGUUCUGCUCCUGCAAAGGUAGUAUGCAUCAGAUACAAAUUAUCAAGAAAUGGAGACAACAGGCCA